UCCAUCAUUCUCAUAAAAAAAAAUUGAACCCAUAAGUAAAAAAAAAAAAUAUAUCCAUUUGUAUAUACUAUCAACUAUUACAACAAAUUCUUCACCGUCCUCCACUGUUGAUACACAUAAACCUCACUUACAUAUAGAUGCGUGUACCUAAGAUCCUUCAUUGUAAUAUCACUGAAGCUCUAGCAGUAAUGAGUAACAACUUCUUUGUCAUCGUCAACACACAUUGACUUUAUAUAUUUUUUCAUGAAAACAUCUGCAAAAUAAAAGAAGUAUUCAUCAGUCAAGUCAUUAAUAGGUUCAUCGUACAAAAACUUAUACAUGGAUUAGAAGUAAAUUAACCACGUAGAUAAUGAAAUCUAAAUAAAUCAAAAGUUUAUAUCAUCCUGGCUAGCAUUCACUCACAUCAUGAUUCUGAAAAAUUGUUUGUAUGUCCGUCAAAAUGUUUGCAUGUAUUUUAAAUUAACUGAAAAAUAUGAUGGAAAAAGUUCAUUAGGUGGUUAAAUAUAAUCACCUGAGCAAUAAAAUAAGAAUGACAAGGGGAAAUAAAAUUCCUAAAGAAGCUAAAGCAUCAUUUAGGCAAAAUAAAAGUAAUAUAUAAACUAGUGUUUGAGAGAAACCUACUGAUACAACAAGAGAUAAAGGGACAACCUCGAGCUAAAAAGACCUGCAAUUAAUAAUAUAAUCAGUGUAAUUAAAAAAUUAAGCCACAUACCAUUGUAUGAAAAAGUAUUAUUGGCCAAUAAUCUUUCACACAAAUGCAUACACUUGAGCAGGUUAUAUUCUAGAAAAUAAUACAUAAAAUAAUGUGAGUAAUAAUUGUUAGAAAUAGAUUUAUAACGAAUUUAUCCGUUGCAAUUAAUAUAUAUAAAAAAUAUUUUUUGUUCGUGUAAUGCCAACGCACAACAACUGUUACAUCUUAAUUUCCAACGGAUAUAUCCGUUAGAAAUUCCUAACGAAAAAUAUCCGUUAGAAAUCAUAAAUUUGUAGUGUUAGAAAAUGCUCACUAUGGUGUAGUGGUAGGAAUACAGUGAUUGAAUCUAGAGUAUUAGAAUCGUAAUACACGCGGAAGCGGGUUAUGACUAAUUUAGCAUCUCAGGUUAGUAAUCCGGGUUAAUUUCUUGUAUAGUUGAAGGAAUUGAUAGAGUAAUAAUCACAUAGGGGGAAGAACAAAAUCCUAGGCUUGUUUACUUUGAUUAAUCUUCGUGUUUAAAUUGCUUUCUUACUUUGUCUUUUUAAUUUGCUUUAAUUUAGUUUAUAUUAAUUUAGGUAAUUCUCUCUAAAGUCGAUUGUGUAGGGUGAGCUUGAUAAUAAUUGCUAAGGUUUAGCGUCUAGGAUUAAAUAAUUAAAUAUUCUCUGUGGGAUCGAUAUCCGGACUUAAUUGUCCACUUUAUUACUUGUACGAUACGUGCACUUGCGUGUAGGUAUUACCACCAACAAGUUUUUGACGCCGUUGUCGGGGAAUAUUUUAAUUAUUUAUUUUAUUCUACCUCUAAAUUUUAAGAAUUUUCAUGAUUCACCCGUUUAAUUUUUAUUUUAUUUUAUUUUUGUUUUAGGUACUGUUUAUGCGCAGGAGGCUCGAUCUUGCUAGAGAACCGUUUGAUCCCGAAAUCGAACGUACUUUUCGAGCCGCUAGAAGACUUCAAGGCGCAAACAAUAUAAUGGAGGACGAAGAACGCAAAAACACAGAAGGUAAUUUACUCAAUGCCAACGGAAACCAAGUCGAAGACCCACCCCCUCAACUUCCAUUACAGCCCGCAGUUAGGCCACGAGCACUUCAAGAUUACAUAAUCCUGACUCUUGAUGGAUUCCGCCCGAGCAUCUAAUAUCCACCUAUAGAGGCGCACAAUUUUGAGAUUAAGCAAGGCCUCUUGACGAUGCUCCAAAAUAACGGGCUAUUUAGUGGAUUGGCGGGUGAAGAUCCCCAUCUUCACAUUGUCAAUUUUCUAGAUACAUGUAAUUCCCAUCGUCAAAACGGCGUUUCCCAAGAGGCUCUUCAAUUAAUUCUCUUCAAGCACUCCUUACAAGAAAGAGCUCGCCAGUGGUUGAUGUCCCAAGCCCCCCACUCUAUCUCGUCAGUGGCCUCAACUUCUCAACCUUUUCAUGAAAGUUUACAGCUCACCCGAGAAGGACGAGAGAAUCCGACGAGAAAUUCAUAAUUUCAUCCAAGAGCAAGGCGAGCAGUUAUACGAGGCAUGGGAGAGAUUUAAAACCCUUUUGCGGGAGUGUCCAACACAUGGAGUAGAGCAAUGGCGGCAAAUCCACAUCUUCUACCUAGGGAUUAACGAGAAUGCACGAACCGUCUUAGAUGCAUCAACCGGGGGUAACUUUAUGAGUCAAUCGAUACCGGAUGCAUUUAUUAUGUUGGAUCAAAUUGCACAAAAUCGGUUUGCCAAGUCAAGCGAAAGGACAGUAAGUGAAGCCAAGAAAGUUCCCGGAGUGUUGGAGUUAGAUGCAAUUACGUCCCUUCAAGCUCAAGUGACCCAAAUAGCUCAACAAAAUCAACUCCUUCUACAGCACAUCAAAGCAACUCCACCACAACAAGUCCAACCAAUUGAUUCUCCAUGUUGUGAAAUUUGCGGUGGAAAUCAUUACACGCUCCAAUGCCAACAAGAUGUGGAAUCGCUCAACUACAUUAACAAUGCGCAUCGCCAAUUUCAAAAUCAAGGGUGGAGAUCACAAGGGCAAUAUGGAGGAAAUCAACAAGGCCAAGGAUAUCAAAGACCUCAAGGUCAAUUUCAAAAUCAACCCUCCUCAACAAAACUAUCAAAGCAACAAUCCACUGGCCCAAAAAUCAAACACGGAUGAGAUAUUGGCCCAAUUUAUGACCGCUACCCAAGCCUCGCUGCGGAAUUUGGAGAGUCAAUUCGCUCAAUUCGUUUUGAAUCAAGAGAACCGUCCGGCAGGAGCAUCGCCAUCGAAUACGGAAGAUCCUCGAAAGCAAAUUUUCGAGAUGUGCCAAGCUAUCGAUGUCAAGAUCGAUAAAAAAGAAGAAAUUCAAAUUAAAGCCGCAAGUCACUGUAGCCGAAUGGGUGGAACGAAUCCCAUAUCACCAAAGAUUGCAACCGAAAAAGGUCGAAGUCGAGACGUGCCAAGCAGUCACCUUGAAGAAUGGUAAGCAAUUGGAGGAAGCCCCACGAAAAGAGAAGAGAAAUACGGUAAUCGAAAAGCCGAAGGUGAUUGAGGAAAAUGAAACAAUUCAAAAAGAACCACCAUCACUAGUGAUUGCACGAUCUCCACCAAUUCCAUAUCCUCAAAAGUUUAUAAAGAAGAAACUCGAUGCCGAAUACCAAGGAUUUUUGGACAAGUUGAAGGAAAUUCGCAUAAAUAUUCAUUUCAUCGAAGCACUUCAAAAGAUGCCAAAGUGGGUGAAGUUCCUUAAAGACCUCGUGACGAAAUGUAAGAAAUUGCAAGGGAACGAGAUGAUCCAACUCACGGAGCAAAUUCGUGCAAUUCUUACACGGCCCCUUCCACAAAAACUCGGCGAUCCAGUUAAGUUUACUAUUCCUUGUAUUAUAGGAGGUAAAAAAUUUAGAUCGCUUAUUGAUUUAGGUGCUAGCAUUAAUCUUAUGCCUUAUUCCACUUUUAAAAAUCUUGACUUUAGAGAAAUUGAACCGACGGCUACAACUCUUCAAUUAGCCGAUAGAUCUUUAGUUUACCCAAAAGGUAUUUUAGAGAAUGUGCUAGUAAAAGUUAAUAAAUUUAUCUUCCAUGUAGAUUUCGUUAUACUUGAUAUAGAUGAGGAUUGGGAGAUACCUCUUAUCGUAGGGAGGCCGUUUUUAGCCACGUCAAAAACUCUUAUUGAUUGUGCUAGUGGUGAUCUUACAAUGACUGUUCAUGAUCAAACAAUCAAAUUCAAUGUUUUUAGUGCUAAUAAAAAUCGAUGUGAUAAUAUGAUUGUUUUUUUAUUGAGCUUAUGGAUUUUACAAAUCAUGAAAAAAAAAAUGAUGUUUUGAACUUGGACAAUGGGAAAGCAUCUUUGAGUGCGGGAGAUGAUGGCGGAAACGAGAAUCGGAAGGAGCAGGUUUACUUCAUGGACUCAAUUUCAACUCCUCCGAGAGAAAGUCAUACGAGUCGGGAUCUUAACGACGGAAAGUGCAAGGAAGAUGUUGCCACCCAAAGACUCGAGCAAGCCACGAGAGAAGGAUGAGUCAAGAUAUUGGGGUCGUAAGGAUAAAGUCAAAGGGAAAUUGCUCAAAGGACAAUUGGUGUUAUUGUGCAAAUCCCGGCUUUGGUUAUUCCCAAGGAAGCGCAAAUCAAAGUGGUCGGAGUCGUUUAUUGUCCAAUAAAUUCGUCCUCAUGAGGUAGUCAAGAUAAAGGAGCGAGAUUCAAAUCGUACGUUCAACGUGAAGCGAAGCCGGCUCAAAUCGUAUUGGGAAGCGAGUGAAGAUUGCCAAGUGACUUCGGUCACUUUUGCUUGAAAAUAAAGAAGCAACGUCCGACUGAAGACUUAAAACUUAGCACUUCUCGGGAGGCAACCCGAGCUUUAUUGUUUUUCGUAGUUUUAUUUAUUUUUUCGUUUUGUUUUUAUUUUAAAAGGCAUGCAUUCUAAUUAAUCUAUUUGAAUUUCAAUUUUCAGGGUCGAAAACGUGGUCAGAGGGUCCAGACGGCCGUCCGAAAAUCCAAGCAAAAUUCCAGACGGACGUCCGAAAUCUAGAGACUUGCCUGCCAGACGGCCACAUAUACUCAUUUUUAUAAGGUCUUUCUUCUUCUUCAUCGAAAAAAAAUAUACAAAAGUAAGGCCUGGUUGUUGAAUUAUUUUUAAAGCUCGAUCCAUUGUCUUAAGAGCAAAAGUGGAGACUUUUGAACUUUUAAGAAUCGAGUUUAUUAAAGUCCUUAGAAGUGAAUUCAUUGUUUCAAACGCCUAUCUUUCAAAUUUUUGCGUAAUCACCUCAAUUCAAGAAGAAUAGCCACAUAUACUCAUUUCCUACCUCGAACCAAAGAGCCUGACAAUUGAAAGCCACAAAGCCCCAAUGAUCCCAAUAGCUCAAUUGUAGCGCCCCGCCUCGAGUAGCAGGCACCUCGUGGCGGAACACCACUCAACAUGCAGUACAUUCAAUGACCCCAAAUAUGCUCCUCCAAAUUGCAGUAAUCAAAACAUUAAACCCCAAUAUCUAUACCAUCUUGUUUACAAAAGGGGAUUCUAUUACAAGUCGACUUCGACACUACUUACUCAAUUACAAAAUUCUCGAUCAAAGGAUUCCUAUACGGAACAUAAAUAGAGAUACCUCUCGACGAGACUAAUCGGAGGCAUACACGAGCUUUAACUCUUAGUACGAAAAUUUAGGUAUAAAUCUUUCUUUUACCUGCGCAUUAAUAUCAGAAAGGAGAAACGAAUAAGUCCGAAUGACUUAGUGAAAAACAUAUGAUCCAUGAGUAUGAUGAGAAUCAAGUGAACAGCACAUAUAACGAGAGACUUUACAAGAAUUUCAUUAACAGAAGUGUAACAUGUACAAGAGUGUAACAUGUACGGCUUGAGAUCAAUAUUUGGUGGGGUCUCCAACCUUGUAGCUCCCAACAAAUAAAAUCAUAUCACAUCCUUGUCCCUCCACUCCGUCCCGAGUGGCCACUCGGUCGGAAACAAGCAAGAGGCACGACCGGAACGUGCCGAUCCGGCUCAGGAACGUUUAACUCCAAACGAACGUGAGUCCGAACCAUCAGGAGGUACCAUUUGGGAGACCAGUCAUCGUCAGCCCAAUACUGCCCGAUCGUCUUGCCGAAAUGGUCCUAGGGCCCAGCUCCCCCAAGAGCGUCCUCAAGGGUGGGGACAGUAGGUUCAAGAAUCAAUAUUAUUCCUUUUAGGAAUAUCAAGUCAUUCAUUUCAAGAAUCAAGUCAAUCAUUCACAAGAUAAGUCAUGAUCACGAUAAUCGAACAUCAAGUAUCAGGAUAAUGAACAUGUUCGAGAAUUCAGUUCAAGCCAAGGAGAGAAUAUUCAUGAAUAUGAGAGUCAAGAAGAACCAUAAGUUCAAUAUCGGAUUCCAAGAACGAGUAUAUCAAUAUCUCAAUGAAUUCAAUAAACAUGAGAUUCAAGUUCGAGCCAACGAAAUAUUUAUUCUCGAAAAGCAUUCAAGACAAGAUUUUGAGAAUAAAUAUAGUUCAAUAUCGAUUCAAGGAAAAUGUUCAGGCCAAGGAAUCAAGUAUAGGAAUUAGCCGUGAACAUAGCAACCAAGAGAAUUGACAAGUUCAAGAUUUCAAGAACAAGAUCAAGGCUCCAAGUUCGAGCCAAGAAAACAAUAUGCUCGCAAAACAUUAAGGAUCAUAUUUCAAGAACAAAUAUAAUGAAGGUAUCGAAGGCUUCAAUAUGUACAAAAUAUUCGGUUCAAAGAAAGGAGAUAUUAUGCGCAGGAAAGAAAUUGGAUAAGGAGUCAUAGUUUCUCACCUGGAGUCCAACGCUAGUGCUAUAGAAGUGCUAUAGAAGCAUCUUUAAGCUUAAACCUUGAGUCAGAGCUUUACUACGCUCGACACCUAUAAACAUAUUCAUCACUUAACAAGAUUCCAAAUGCUAAUAUAAUCGUAUUAUUCUACUAUAUACAUAGUCAAUUUCUUGAAACAUUUGUUACGAAUGUCUUGCUGCCACAGCUUAUUCGAACAAUCGUUACGAUCACCUUACUUAUCCGAAUAACCUAAACGAUAUAUCGAAUUAAAGCUAACAUCAGUGUCUACAGGUUUACUGAAGACUCUGAGCCCAAAUUAUCGACCUAACACAAUAAUAACAGCCUCGGAAGAUGAGUACAUGAAACUGCCAGGUUUUUUUUUUGGAAAAUUCGUUGUUGGCACAGUUUGUUUGAAAAAUCAUAACAAUUAGCAUGCUAAUCCAAAUUGAUCACAUGAUACGUCAAAUGAAAGCUAACAGAAAAUUCUGCGAGUUCACAGAAGGCUUUAGUCCCAAAUUCGGAACCGAAAAUAGCAGAAACAACCUCAAACCAGCAUUACAGAACUGCCGGGAUUUUGGAAAGAUUAUUUCUGGUACAGCUUAUUUGAAAAAUCAUAACAAUUUGUAAAGUUAUCCAAAUUGCCCAAAUAAUACAUCAAAUGAAACCUUACAACUUAAUCUACAAGUUUCAUGAAGGCACAGAGCCCAAAUUAUGAUCCCAACAUAUCGAGAACAGUCCCGCAAGAAGAUACUAAAAACUGCCCUGUUUCCGGCAGAUUACUGUCAUCGGAUUCCGACCUCUAAAACACGUAUAUUAAAUACUCUAAUUCGAUACGAUUGAACACUUACUUACAGUUUACGAUGUCCUCUACGAGUUUCCUGAAGGAACCGAUUCCAAAUUCGCAUUCGAAACCCUUCGAUUUCGGCUCCGAAAACAGGUGCGGCAGCAGAUUUUGCUUCCCCAAAAUCGCAGCGAGCAAGCUGACUUCUCAGCAAACUCCGGGGACCGCCGCCCGUGCAAACCAUCAAGAACCACGACCAAUAGAGAGCCAAACUCAUUAGCUUUCUAACGAUGGAUCCUGAUCAACGAGGUUCAAUCUCAAACGCCCCUAAACAAUUAUUUCUUUGAAGGCCUAACCGCUGAAUUUCGAAUUGUAAGUGAACUUGUCUUCUUCGACCUAUUCCGACCACCACCACCGAUGUGAAGCUGAUCUUAUGGUUUAUACCAGUGCCACCGGAUUCUCGAAACUCUGUUCAUAAAACGUUGCAGCACUUUUGAAGAAUCAAUUUGGGCUUUCUUCUUUCACCGCUCAAUUCUUCAACCCAAACUUGAUUACAUCAAACCCUCACUUAGAAACUCAAUAUUUCCGAUCAAUUUAUUUGAUUCCAGCCAAGACUCCGAUAGAGAGAAUGGCGAAGAUAGAGAAUAAGUGAGCAAGAGAGAAAGAAUGAAGAGAAGAAGAUAGAGAGAAAGAGAGAGACGGUGAGAGAAGAGCUGGGGUGAAGAGAAGAAACGUGGCUGCCAAAGGAGGAUUGUGAAUUGACGAUAUACACGUCAAUUCCUAUCUCAACUAUAAGUUAUGAAAAUUGGCUAUAAGGCCAAAUAGUUUUCUUAAUUACCAAAUAGAUGCCAUAACUUUAGAUAAUUACAAUUUCUGCACUUCCCAUCAAAUUCGAAAUAUAUUAUAAUUCCAUAUCGACACAUAUCAACUAAAUAAAUUCAAUUAUCCCCAAACUUGAACAACUUACACAUUUACGGGGUGUUACACUCUUCCCUCCUUAAAAGAAUCUGGUCCCCAGAUUCUCAACUAUUAUUCGAACAUGGAAAUACAAUUUCCUAAAAUUAUCUUCUUGCUCAUCCAUCGCUUCGUUAGCUUCGUGGUUUCUCCAUAAUACCUUCAAGUCUUGUGAUUGAGGAAUUCGUUAUCAAGAGGAAUACGGUUAUGCGGGUAGUCUAUAGGAGGUUGGUUCCGAAAUAGGGAUCAAUCCCUAUUUAUAUGAUAAGUUAUUCUCAAGCUACGGUUGCUUCAAGGAAGAAUACCUGAGUUUGAUCGAAAUAGUGUUAACUUAGUCCUUCAAACCUCUACGAAUUAUUUCCAUGACAAUCUGUAUCUCCCCAAACUUAGAAUUGACUUGGAUAACGAGUCAAACUAUUAUCGUAACGAAUUCAGAAACACUACAUCAAAUACAAUAUGGGGUAGUAAUAGGAAGUACUGCUUGUGGAACCUUAAUGUCCGCGGCUCCAUUAGUAAUACCGUACAGUUCAUCGGUCUCAAACUCGAUGUAGCCUUACUGUUGAGCAAGAUGCUAAAUAUUUAUAAUGUUCUAGAAGUUGAAGGCCAAGAUACGGUUCGUCAACUAAUUAAUGGGACUUGUGAGGUACAUCAACUACGAGGAAACAAUCGAGUUAGGGUUGUAGCCAGGAGUCCUACAAAUUGUCUGAUGAGAGGAAUGAAAGGGAUUAAUAAGGGUCUGAUAUCGUUCGAAUCUUUAAAUCUCUCCCUACUUAUCCGUGUCACAUUCUUCAAGAGAAUGUGUUUCUUCUCCUCCGUUUCGCUCGAGCCUUUGUGGUAACUAGAACUACAUAUCUACUUCCACAUCUCCAUAACUCUUUUGACGAUCUCAUGUAGACUUUAAUCUUUAUUUGAUGAGUCGAACUUUACCGUAGCAUCUUGUAUCAAUCUCCAAGCCCUUACGUUUGCCGUCGUUAGUUAUUCGUCGCUCAUCUAAUCUUGAAUUGCAAGCUCGGUUGAUAGUUUAUUCCACGAACUACUGCGAAGCUGUCUGUAUUCCAGCUCGAUAGAUUCCCAAUUAUCACGAUGAUCUGCGUUAUACGUUCACAAGGUUCCUUCAAUGUUUUCAGUCAUCCACUCACACGAGAGUUAGUUUUGAGAACGUUUCCCGUACCGAGCUGAAAUUUUGUCCUAUGUUGCAGAUAGUUGCUUUCAUAAGAACGAGAUGACUUAUAAUCUAUAUCGAGACAAUGUGAGUUAGCUACAAGAGAUAGAUUUCGGAUCUAAAUUAUCUUCAGCAAACAAAGAGGCAACUACUUUCCCGGUCCACAAAAAUUCUCUUCUCAUUGGUCUACAUAAAGUGGAAUUGAAUGCACAAUAAUUAUAAUCAAAGAGGACGGCGAAGCCUGAUUUACUUAUGGUAUCAACAUUGGACACUAGAAGAACUUGAUUAUAGAUGGCGUUCGCAAGGAAAAGGUUUUCAAAUAGUAGAUCGACCAGACAACGGUUGAUGGAAGAGAGCUUUACUUCUAAAAUCAAGAGUAAUCGAAGAUGGCAACGGUUGAUAAAAUCUUCCGGUGGUUUCGCAACCGCAUGCCUAAUAGAUACUUAUCGUAGAGAAGUCAUGACUCCGAAUUCCGACAAUUGAGUAGCCCUAAUUUCAUUCAAUUCACUACUAUUUCAACAUAGGUCAACUAGUCUAAUGUCAUUCUUCGACACCAAGCACGCUCUAAUCACGUCCGAAACAUUAUACACACUAUGUCUAUUAAUGUCCAUGGUGAAUUACUUCAACCAAACGACAUGACGGGCAAAACUUAUUUAUAGCAAGUUGAACAUGCAAGCCGAAUUCUUGCAGUUGUCGUUCCCAUCUUACAAAGAAAAGUGCAAUCAUCUACGGUGUUAUUGACAAAGGUGUUCUACUUUAAACUUCUCCACAUAGCACUUAGCUCUUCAUAUUAAUCGAAUAGAAUUGCAAAAACUGAUAAUCCAAUGUUAAGAUAUAGCUGACUUAUCGGACAUUAGGGACUCUAGAGGUGGCUCAUGCAAGAUUAAGAGGUGGCUCCCGUUGGGUAGCACUUUGUCCCGCAGGUUCAAGAGGUGACUCCCACAUCGUAGCACUUUGCCCUGCAUAGCACUUAGCUCCUUGUACCUUGACGAUUAGAUACAAGAAUUCAAACCGCUCAAGAUACCUUAAGAAUCAACAAACUCUAUAAAAUUUCUAAGUCGUGAUAACUACAUGACCUUUUUCCGUUGAGUAAGAUCUAUAAGAUGAUAUAACAAUAGAUGCAUACAACCGUAGUCAUAUGACACGACAUUACCCAUACAAGGUCCAUACUUUUACCCUGAAUUAUCAAUAAUAAUGACCUAUAAGUGAGAGGGAACAACAAGAAGCAAUAUGAAGAAGUCGAAUCACAAGGUUUCAAAGGGAUAAGAAAACUCACAGAAUAGGCUAUCCCUAAUCAAGAAGUAUUAAAUGAGAUGAGGAAUCUCAAAAAGAACGGAACAAGGAAAUCGAGGCAUUCAAACGAGAUCAAAUACCUCACUCGUGAUCAAUAGUGGGAAGGAAGUAAGAUAGUCAAGCAAUAUUGUAUUCAAAGAAUCAGAAACCUGAAAAAGUAGGUAACCGAGAUGCCAAGUAUUGAAAUGAGAUAAGGAGUUUUGAAAUGAGAUAUGGGAUUUCCAUUGUGAUCAAUAAUAACAAUGGAACAAUGCAUGUACAAGAAUCGAAUUUUGAGGCCAAAAGAACAAGAAUCUCAAAAAUAGGUAGAAAGAUUGAUCCGACAUGAGAAUAAUAACAAUGGUAUAGCCAAAUCAAACGAGAAUAGGGACCUCAAAGGCACUUGAACAAAAUCACCAGAUAUUCAAGGAAAUUGGAACACUGAAAAUGGAGUAGUAUAGAUUAAGUAAAGCAAUAUUCAAGAAACAAAAAGUCUCGACAAAUAGAUUCGCCGAAACUAUAGAGUGUUCAAAGAGAUAUAAAACCUCACAAUUAUCCAAAGCAGAUGGUAGUGGAAAAAAAAUAAGGAACCUCACAAGAACAUGACCAAAAUCAUAUGGUAUUCAAAAUAAUUGAACACUAAAGAUGGAGUGAACUGGAUAAGAAGUCUCGGCAAAUAGAUAAGCCGAAACCAUAGAAUAUUUACAAAGGAUACAAGGUGGAGAUGGUAGCACAAUAAGGUAAGGGCUUCAAAACAAAAGAUAAUCCAAGCCAGGCGGAAUUUGAAGGGGUACGAAACCUCAUAAAAUUGGUAACUAAGACUAUGAGGUAUUAAAAUGAGAUAAGAGAAUCGAUUACGAUCAACAAAUGAAAUUAUACAAUAUAGGCCAACGAAUCAAAAUUGAAUUCAUUGGAAUGAUAAGGAGUGAACAAAAGAACUCCCGAAUAUUUGGUUCACCGUAAUUCAAUACUCAAAACGAGAUAAUAUGGUUUGGAUAAGGAAGUCAAGUUAUGAAGUAAAAUGGAAUGGGACGUCUACAAGAAAAGGUGUUACCAAAUUCAAGUGAGACUAGGAACCUCACUCGUGAUCAACAUUGGAGAAUUGGGAGAAUUGGAAGCCAAUUGAAGUAACCAAAAGAACCAAGAAUCUCAAACUGCGUCUCAGGUCGUGUAUGAUAGAUAUUUCUACGGGGUAUUCCUCACUAUCUAUAUCGGUAAUAGAUGCUAAAGUAUUAUCUCAAUGCCUCUAAUACUCGAUUAUCACCAAUCUUCUCAAUUCCCCAAGAUUCAAUUCAUAGCUCUACAAUUCUCAAAGAUCCCUUUCCAUCACCGCCCGGGCAUCCAACCCAAAGCCAACCCAAAGCUUUACCAACCCAAAGCUCUACCGACCGAAAGCUCUACCAACCCAAAGCUCUGAUACCACCUGUAGCGCCCCGCCUCGAGUAGCAGGCACCUCGUGGCGGAACACCACUCAACAUGCAGUACAUUCAAUGACCCCAAAUAUGCUCCUCCAAAUUGCAUUAAUCAAAACAUUAAACCCCAAUAUCUAUACCAUCUUGUUUACAAAAGGGGAUUCUAUUACAAGUCGACUUCGACACUACUUACUCAAUUACAAAAUUCUCGAUCAAAGGAUUCCUAUACGGAACAUAAAUAGAGAUACCUCUCGACGAGACUAAUCGGAGGCAUACACGAGCUUUAACUCUUAGUACGAAAAUUUAGGUAUAAAUCUUUCUUUUACCUGCGCAUUAAUAUCAGAAAGGAGAAACGAAUAAGUCCGAAUGACUUAGUGAAAAACAUAUGAUCCAUGAGUAUGAUGAGAAUCAAGUGAACAGCACAUAUAACGAGAGACUUUACAAGAAUUUCAUUAACAGAAGUGUAACAUGUACAAGAGUGUAACAUGUACGGCUUGAGAUCAAUAUUUGGUGGGGUCUCCAACCUUGUAGCUCCCAACAAAUAAAAUCAUAUCACAUCCUUGUCCCUCCACUCCGUCCCGAGUGGCCACUCGGUCGGAAACAAGCAAGAGGCACGACCGGAACGUGCCGAUCCGGCUCAGGAACGUUUAACUCCAAACGAACGUGAGUCCGAACCAUCAGGAGGUACCAUUUGGGAGACCAGUCAUCGUCAGCCCAAUACUGCCCGAUCGUCUUGCCGAAAUGGUCCUAGGGCCCAGCUCCCCCAAGAGCGUCCUCAAGGGUGGGGACAGUAGGUUCAAGAAUCAAUAUUAUUCCUUUUAGGAAUAUCAAGUCAUUCAUUUCAAGAAUCAAGUCAAUCAUUCACAAGAUAAGUCAUGAUCACGAUAAUCGAACAUCAAGUAUCAGGAUAAUGAACAUGUUCGAGAAUUCAGUUCAAGCCAAGGAGAGAAUAUUCAUGAAUAUGAGAGUCAAGAAGAACCAUAAGUUCAAUAUCGGAUUCCAAGAACGAGUAUAUCAAUAUCUCAAUGAAUUCAAUAAACAUGAGAUUCAAGUUCGAGCCAACGAAAUAUUUAUUCUCGAAAAGCAUUCAAGACAAGAUUUUGAGAAUAAAUAUAGUUCAAUAUCGAUUCAAGGAAAAUGUUCAGGCCAAGGAAUCAAGUAUAGGAAUUAGCCGUGAACAUAGCAACCAAGAGAAUUGACAAGUUCAAGAUUUCAAGAACAAGAUCAAGGCUCCAAGUUCGAGCCAAGAAAACAAUAUGCUCGCAAAACAUUAAGGAUCAUAUUUCAAGAACAAAUAUAAUGAAGGUAUCGAAGGCUUCAAUAUGUACAAAAUAUUCGGUUCAAAGAAAGGAGAUAUUAUGCGCAGGAAAGAAAUUGGAUAAGGAGUCAUAGUUUCUCACCUGGAGUCCAACGCUAGUGCUAUAGAAGUGCUAUAGAAGCAUCUUUAAGCUUAAACCUUGAGUCAGAGCUUUACUACGCUCGACACCUAUAAACAUAUUCAUCACUUAACAAGAUUCCAAAUGCUAAUAUAAUCGUAUUAUUCUACUAUAUACAUAGUCAAUUUCUUGAAACAUUUGUUACGAAUGUCUUGCUGCCACAGCUUAUUCGAACAAUCGUUACGAUCACCUUACUUAUCCGAAUAACCUAAACGAUAUAUCGAAUUAAAGCUAACAUCAGUGUCUACAGGUUUACUGAAGACUCUGAGCCCAAAUUAUCGACCUAACACAAUAAUAACAGCCUCGGAAGAUGAGUACAUGAAACUGCCAGGUUUUUUUUUUGGAAAAUUCGUUGUUGGCACAGUUUGUUUGAAAAAUCAUAACAAUUAGCAUGCUAAUCCAAAUUGAUCACAUGAUACGUCAAAUGAAAGCUAACAGAAAAUUCUGCGAGUUCACAGAAGGCUUUAGUCCCAAAUUCGGAACCGAAAAUAGCAGAAACAACCUCAAACCAGCAUUACAGAACUGCCGGGAUUUUGGAAAGAUUAUUUCUGGUACAGCUUAUUUGAAAAAUCAUAACAAUUUGUAAAGUUAUCCAAAUUGCCCAAAUAAUACAUCAAAUGAAACCUUACAACUUAAUCUACAAGUUUCAUGAAGGCACAGAGCCCAAAUUAUGAUCCCAACAUAUCGAGAACAGUCCCGCAAGAAGAUACUAAAAACUGCCCUGUUUCCGGCAGAUUACUGUCAUCGGAUUCCGACCUCUAAAACACGUAUAUUAAAUACUCUAAUUCGAUACGAUUGAACACUUACUUACAGUUUACGAUGUCCUCUACGAGUUUCCUGAAGGAACCGAUUCCAAAUUCGCAUUCGAAACCCUUCGAUUUCGGCUCCGAAAACAGGUGCGGCAGCAGAUUUUGCUUCCCCAAAAUCGCAGCGAGCAAGCUGACUUCUCAGCAAACUCCGGGGACCGCCGCCCGUGCAAACCAUCAAGAACCACGACCAAUAGAGAGCCAAACUCAUUAGCUUUCUAACGAUGGAUCCUGAUCAACGAGGUUCAAUCUCAAACGCCCCUAAACAAUUAUUUCUUUGAAGGCCUAACCGCUGAAUUUCGAAUUGUAAGUGAACUUGUCUUCUUCGACCUAUUCCGACCACCACCACCGAUGUGAAGCUGAUCUUAUGGUUUAUACCAGUGCCACCGGAUUCUCGAAACUCUGUUCAUAAAACGUUGCAGCACUUUUGAAGAAUCAAUUUGGGCUUUCUUCUUUCACCGCUCAAUUCUUCAACCCAAACUUGAUUACAUCAAACCCUCACUUAGAAACUCAAUAUUUCCGAUCAAUUUAUUUGAUUCCAGCCAAGACUCCGAUAGAGAGAAUGGCGAAGAUAGAGAAUAAGUGAGCAAGAGAGAAAGAAUGAAGAGAAGAAGAUAGAGAGAAAGAGAGAGACGGUGAGAGAAGAGCUGGGGUGAAGAGAAGAAACGUGGCUGCCAAAGGAGGAUUGUGAAUUGACGAUAUACACGUCAAUUCCUAUCUCAACUAUAAGUUAUGAAAAUUGGCUAUAAGGCCAAAUAGUUUUCUUAAUUACCAAAUAGAUGCCAUAACUUUAGAUAAUUACAAUUUCUGCACUUCCCAUCAAAUUCGAAAUAUAUUAUAAUUCCAUAUCGACACAUAUCAACUAAAUAAAUUCAAUUAUCCCCAAACUUGAACAACUUACACAUUUACGGGGUGUUAC
rnacentral:lncRNA from 1 species